CCCCUAGAUGUUCUGGGCCGCACGCGUGCUACACUGACCGGCGCAACAAGUUUCUUUCCUUGGCUCGAUAGGCCUGGGUAAUCUUUGAACGCCGGUCGUGAUGGGGAUAGAUCCUUGCAAUUUUUGAUCUUCAACGAGGAAUUCCUAGUAAAUGCGAGUCAUCAUCUCGCGUUGAUUACGUCCCUGCCCUUUGUACACACCGCCCGUCGCACCUACCGAUUGAAUGGUCCGGUGAAAUCUCGGGACGGCGGCUUGGUCGCUUGCGUCCGACUGCUGAAACUUGAUUAAACCAUAUCAUUUAGAGGAAGGUGAAGUCGUAACA
rnacentral:rRNA from 1 species